AUCCUAAUUGUUCAAGGAAAUUCUAUUAGUAGCCUAUACUAUCGUGAAAGAAUACAAUCAGAUGUGAAAGUACAUACUUAAAUGGCGGAAGAGAUGCUGGCUGUAUAUAAAUGUAAAACUCGACUUAUUGGAUAACAGAAAGAAGUGCGAGCUGAGCUGCUGGUACAAGAUCGCUUGUAGCAUUGAGUAGAAGAGGAACACAGUUUUCUACUUACCACGGAGCGAUAAUGUACCACUCUCUUUUGUUAUCAGCCUUGUGCGUCAUUGGUUUGACAGCAGGUGUUAUUAAAGGUACGACUAAAAUAGAUGUAUUUUGAUGAUGAGUAGCAGCUUGUUAUAAGCUUCCACACCAGUUAUUAGUGUGUCAACGCGGCAGUAUUCUCGAUGUGUAGCUUAUUUACCAUAUCUAUAGAUCAAGAAAAUGUUUCUUUAUGAAAAUUACAUAUCAUAUCGUUACAUAUAAGCCAAGAUUAUACAUUCUUAUUUCCUGGUAAGACUUUUAACCUUAUAUAUCUAGGACGUUAAUUCUUGCUUCCGAUAUAAAUUUUAUCAACAAGAACGUAUCUAA